CCCUUCUCUCCGGAUUUCUUCUCUGCUCUUCUGCAACCAAGUCUGCUAUCAAAGGGCUCUCCAGAAUCUCGUCAACAGAAGGUCGAUGUAACAGCAGCCAGCCAAAGCUCUUACUCUCAACAGAGGGCAGAGAGGAAAGGACCAAAAUCUUCAGGAGGCGCCUUAGUAUUCUAGUCCAAUAGGAAAACGUUGGCUGGUUUCAGAUCCCGAUGUAGCACGGUGUGACCGCCAUCACUUCGUCUGUGACAUUCCUUCAGGGCUAGAGUCAAC